AGAGUUUGAUCAUGGCUCAGAACGAACGCUGGCGGCGCGCCUAAUACAUGCAAGUCGAACGAGAAUGUGUAGCAAUACACAUGUACAGUGGCGAACGGGUGAGGACUACAUGGGUAACCUACCCUCGAGUGGGGAAUAACUAGCCGAAAGGUUAGCUAAUACCGCGUACGCUUCCCGGACUGCGGUUCGGGAAGGAAAGCGAUACCGUGGGUAUCGCGCUCUUGGAUGGGCUCAUGCCCUAUCAGCUUGUUGGUGAGGUAACGGCUCACCAAGGCUUCGACGGGUAGCUGAUCUGAGAGGAUGAUCAGCCACACUGGCACUGCGACACGGGCCAGACUCCUACGGGAGGCAGCAGUAAGGAAUAUUGCGCAAUGGGCGAAAGCCUGACGCAGCGACGCCGCGUGGGGGAUGAAGGUCUUCGGAUUGUAAACCCCUUUCGGGAGGGAAGAUGGGAUGGGGUUACCCAUUCGGACGGUACCUCCAGAAGCAGCCACGGCUAACUUCGUGCCAGCAGCCGCGGUAAUACGAAGGUGGCAAGCGUUGUUCGGAUUUACUGGGCGUACAGGGAGCGUAGGCGGUUGGAUAAGCCCUCCGUGAAAUCUCCAGGCUUAACCUGGAAAGUGCAGAGGGGACUGUUCAGCUAGAGGAUGGGAGAGGAGCGCGGAAUUCCCGGUGUAGCGGUGAAAUGCGUAGAGAUCGGGAGGAAGGCCGGUGGCGAAGGCGGCGCUCUGGAACAUUUCUGACGCUGAGGCUCGAAAGCGUGGGGAGCAAACAGGAUUAGAUACCCUGGUAGUCCACGCCUUAAACGAUGGAUACUAAGUGUCGGCGGGUUACCGCCGGUGCCGCAGCUAACGCAGUAAGUAUCCCGCCUGGGAAGUACGGCCGCAAGGUUGAAACUCAAAUGAAUUGACGG
rnacentral:rRNA from 1 species